rnacentral:rRNA from 1 species
UACGGAGGCCUCGAGCGUUAGGCGGAAUCACUGGGCUUAAAGCGUGUGUAGGCGGAUUGGUAAGUACCUUGUGAAAUCCCACAGCUUAACUGUGGAACUGCUCGGUAUACUGCUGAUCUUGAGCCACUCAGGGGCUACCGGAACAAAUGGUGGAGCGGUGAAAUGCGUAGAUAUCAUUUGGAACGCCAAUGGUGAAAACAGGUAGCUGGGGGUGUGCUGACGCUGAGACACGAAAGCCAGGGGAGCAAACGGG